AUACAAACCAGGCAGGGGAGAUAUCAUGAGCAUGUGGGUGGUUUUCCCAGGGCGAGGCUCAUCCAUUGCUCUCCGGUUGUGCUGACCCCUGCGAUUUCCCCAAAUGUGGGAAACUCGACUGCAUAGGUCGUGGUAGUGGGGGACUGCGUUCGCGCUUUCCUCUG